GCGUUUGUAUACCAACGGUUAGGAUAAUUGCCUUCCAAGCAAUAGACCCGGGUUCAACUCCCGGCAAACGCA
rfam:Ipomoea nil DNA, scaffold: scaffold2802, cultivar: Tokyo-kokei standard.